rnacentral:misc_RNA from 1 species
GAUGAAGAACGUAGCGAAAUGCGAUAAGUAAUGUGAAUUGCAGAAUUCAGUGAAUCAUCGAAUCUUUGAACGCACAUUGCGCCCGCCAGUAUUCUGGCGGGCAUGCCUGUCUGAGCGUCAUUUCAACCCUCAUGCCCCUAGGGCGUGGUGUUGGGGAUCGGCCAAAGCCCGCGAGGGACGGCCGGCCCCUAAAUCUAGUGGCGGACCCGUCGUGGCCUCCUCUGCGAAGUAGUGAUAUUCCGCAUCGGAGAGCGACGAGCCCCUGCCGUUAAACCCCCAACUUUCCAAGGUUGACCUCAGAUCAGGUAGGAAUUCCCGCUGAACUUAAGCAUAUCAAUAAGCGGAGGA